GCGCGCUCUCCCUGCACCCCGGGGAGGAGCGCCUCGCGUCACCCACUCGCACUCCGAGCCCUCUCCUCGGGAGCUCGGGCGCCGCCUCGCUGCUCUCCUUUCGCUCCCUCACAACCGCCUCCCCACCCCUCCCCUCCCGGGGCCCCGCGCCUCCCCUCCCCCACCCGGCCCCCCGGCCCGGGGUUCUCAAGGACCAGCCUGCGCUCCUGGCGCCCUCAUGUCUUCGCGGGACUCCCCGCGCCGGUUGACGUGGUGUCUCGUUCGGAUUUCCAGGCCAGACCUCAGCUCCGGCGGCAGCAUCAGCCCGGCCCAUCUCGUGCUACCAAGCGCUGCGCCCCGAGAAGGCGCAGAACGCUGCCGCCGCCGCUGAGCCGCCCGCCGCGCCCCGGGCCCGCGCAGCCCCGGCCAAGAGCGCGGCGCGCGCAGCCGUGUCACCCCCCCACCCAAGGCAGCGGCGGCUGCUCGGACCUCGGUUUCUGGGGGUGCAGGGCAUCGGCGGAGGAGCUGUCGGCAUCCCUCGCCCUUCUCGAGGCGGCGGCGGCGGGAGCCUUGGCUGCCGCCUCCAGCGCGCCCUCGCUGCCCCAGGAUUUCGAACUCGUGCCCCUGACCUGUUGGGCGGGGCUCUGCGCUCCUGCCCUUGGCCCGGAUGGGGCUCCUGGCUGGGACUCGGGGCUCCUGGAGUUAAUGUCCAACUGGGGGUCUGCGGAGACCGGAUCCGAGGUGAGUGGGGAAGCGGGCCGGGGGUGCAAGGGGCGGGAGGGCGCGGCGGCCUGCAGGGCGCGGAAGACAGAGGGGGCGCGGCCGGACCCCAGAGCAGGCGGUAACAUUGGAAAGAGGAAAGACUAUAUGGAACCGAGGCGCCGGGAGGAUAGAGGAGAGAGAGAAGUUGAACGGGAGAGGGGCUGGCCUUGCAGAGAUGCCGUUGCCUUUCCACGUGGGCAAAGAGCGCUGGUGCCCGAUGCCUGUGGACCCCUGGAAUGCCCGAGAGGGUCAGUUUCCCUCCCCGACUCGGUGGGGCGCUCUUCUGUCAAGUCCCAGGACGGUGCGGGUUUGGGGUUAUCUUUGAACCCACCGCGACCAGAAAGUGUCCUCUCUGGACGUGCAGCUGCAGAGAUACCAUAG
rnacentral:lncRNA from 1 species